rfam:Endosymbiont of Codakia orbicularis strain COS CODIS_contig000008, whole genome shotgun sequence.
CAUCCCCUGCGGUGUUCGUAAGCAACCAGGGUAUUUUCUUGAGCCUAACAUCUACCCAGGGAGCAUGAUGAAAGGGCCGGUGUGCAUGUCCGUAUCCUAGCGGGAAGCCUGAAGCUCUUCUGUUGUUCCCACUUGAACCCUCUGGUUCAAGAACAGCGGUUUGCGACGGCACAGGUGGGGGAUGU